ACUUUGCUCUAGCAGUACGGUUAAUAUUGGAAAGAUUUGAUAGUAAACUCCAAUAUUUACGUGCUGCUAAAACACUGC